rnacentral:rRNA from 1 species
CGCUGGCGGCGUGCCUAACACAUGCAAGUCGAACGGGGAUUUGUUUCGGCAGAAUCCUAGUGGCGAACGGGUGAGUAACGCGUAGGCAACCUGCCCUCCGGCCGGGGACAACACUCCGAAAGGGGUGCUAAUACCGGAUACGAAGUCUGUGCCGCAUGGUACGGAUUUGAAAGAUGGCCUCUAUUUAUAAGCUAUCGCCGGGGGAUGGGCCUGCGUCCGAUUAGCUGGUUGGUGGGGUAACGGCCUACCAAGGCGACGAUCGGUAGCCGGUCUGAGAGGAUGAACGGCCACAUUGGGACUGAGACACGGCCCAGACUCCUACGGGAGGCAGCAGUGGGGAAUCUUCCGCAAUGGGCGCAAGCCUGACGGAGCAACGCCGCCGUGAGUGAGGAAGUUCUUCGGAACGUAAAGCUCUGUUGUUCCUGACGAACCUCCCCUCUAUGAACAACGGAGGGGACUGACGGUAGGGAACGGGGAAGCCACGGCUAACUACGUGCCAGCAGCGGC